AUACGUAGGGGGCAAGCGUUAUCCGGAUUUACUGGGUGUAAAGGGAGCGUAGGUGGUUCGGCAAGUCAGAUGUGAAAGCCCGGGGCUCAACCCCGGGACUGCAUUUGAAACUGCCGUACUAGAGUGCAGGAGAGGUAAGUGGAAUUCCUAGUGUAGCGGUGAAAUGCGUAGAUAUUAGGAGGAACACCAGUGGCGAAGGCGGCUUACUGGACUGUAACUGACACUGAGGCUCGAAAGCGGUGGGGAGAC
rnacentral:rRNA from 1 species